CAAGAUGAAGCUAAGCAGUCAAGCAUCUCCCUUACACCGAGAAGUUGCUCGUGCAAAUCGAGCCACCUUGA
rnacentral:tRNA from 1 species